rnacentral:rRNA from 1 species
GGGAACUGAAACAUCUAAGUACCCGGAGGAAAGGAAAUCAAUUGAUACUCCCCUAGUAGCGGCGAGCGAACGGGGACCAGCCGAGCCAUGAGAGUGACUAGAACACGUUGGGAAGCGUGGCCAUAGCGGGUGAUAGCCCCGUAUAGGAAGCUCAAUUGGACGUAUUAAGUAGGGCGGGACACGUGAAAUCCUGUCUGAAGAUCGGAGGACCACCUUCGAAGGCUAAGUACUCCUUACUGACCGAUAGUGAACCAGUACCGUGAGGGAAAGGUGAAAAGCACCCCGACGAGGGGAGUGAAACAGUACCUGAAACCGAACGCCUACAAUCAGUUGGAGGGUCUUUACGGCCUGACAGCGUACCUUUUGUAUAAUGGGUCAUCGACUUGGUCUAACUAGCAAGCUUAAGCCGUUAGGUGUAGGCGCAGCGAAAGCGAGUCUUAAUAGGGCGCAGAGUUAGUUGGAUCAGACCCGAAACCGAGUGAUCUAGGCAUGACCAGGAUGAAGACAAGGUAACACUUGUUGGAGGUCCGAACCCACACCUGUUGAAAAAGGUCGGGAUGAGUUGUGCCUAGGGGUGAAAGGCCAAUCAAACUCGGAGAUAGCUGGUUCUCUGCGAAAUCUAUUUAGGUAGAGCGUCAUCCGAAUACCCCGGGGGGUAGAGCACUGGAUGGGUAAUGGGGCCCCACAGGCUUACUGAUCCUAACCAAACUCCGAAUACCCGGGAGUACUAGAUGGCAGACACACUGCGGGUGCUAACGCCCGUAGUGGAGAGGGAAACAACCCUGACCUCCAGCUAAGGCCCCUAAUUCAUGGCUAAGUGGGAAAGCAGGUGGGACGACCAAAACAACCAGGAGGUUGGCUUAGAAGCAGCCAUCCUUUAAAGAUAGCGUAACAGCUCACUGGUCUAAUUAAGUUGUCCUGCGGCGAAGAUGUAACGGGGCUCAAGCCAUGAGCCGAAGCUGAGGACUGCAUAGCAGUGGUAGCGGAGCGUAGUGU